UGGGGAAUAUUGCACAAUGGGCGCAAGCCUGAUGCAGCCAUGCAGCGUGUGUGAAGAAGGCCUUCGGGUUGUAAAGCACUUUCAGCGCGGAGGAAGGGUGGUGUGUUAAUAGCACAUCACAUUGACGAUACUCGCAGAAGAAGCACCGGCUAACUCCGUGCCAGCAGCCGCGGUAAUACGGAGGGUGCAAGCGUUAAUCGGAAUUACUGGGCGUAAAGCGCACGCAGGCGGUUUGUUAAGUCAGAUGUGAAAUCCCCGCGCUUAACGUGGGAACUGCAUUUGAAACUGGCAAGCUAGAGUCUUGUAGAGGGGGGUAGAAUUCCAGGUGUAGCGGUGAAAUGCGUAGAGAUCUGGAGGAAUACCGGUGGCGAAGGCGGCCCCCUGGACAAAGACUGACGCUCAGGUGCGAAAGCGUGGGGAGCAAACA
rnacentral:rRNA from 1 species